rnacentral:snRNA from 1 species
AUACUUACUGGCAGGGGAGAUACCAUGAUGCAAAGGUGGUUUUCCCAGGGCAAGGCUUAUCUAUUGCACUCCGGAUGUGCUGACCCCUGUGAAUAAAAAUAUAUAUAUUUAAAAAAAA